AUGAACGCUAGCUACAGGCUUAACACAUGCAAGUCGAGGGGCAGCAUGGUCUUAGCUUGCUAAGGCCGAUGGCGACCGGCGCACGGGUGAGUAACACGUAUCCAACCUGCCGUCUACUCUUGGACAGCCUUCUGAAAGGAAGAUUAAUACAAGAUGGCAUCAUGAGUCCGCAUGUUCACAUGAUUAAAGGUAUUCCGGUAGACGAUGGGGAUGCGUUCCAUUAGAUAGUAGGCGGGGUAACGGCCCACCUAGUCUUCGAUGGGUAGGGGUUCUGAGAGGAAGGUCCCCCACAUUGGAACUGAGACACGGUCCAAACUCCUACGGGAGGCAGCAGUGAGGAAUAUUGGUCAAUGGGCGAGAGCCUGAACCAGCCAAGUAGCGUGAAGGAUGACUGCCCUAUGGGUUGUAAACUUCUUUUAUAAAGGAAUAAAGUCGGGUAUGGAUACCCGUUUGCAUGUACUUUAUGAAUAAGGAUCGGCUAACUCCGUGCCAGCAGCCGCGGUAAUACGGAGGAUCCGAGCGUUAUCCGGAUUUAUUGGGUUUAAAGGGAGCGUAGAUGGAUGUUUAAGUCAGUUGUGAAAGUUUGCGGCUCAACCGUAAAAUUGCAGUUGAUACUGGAUAUCUUGAGUGCAGUUGAGGCAGGCGGAAUUCGUGGUGUAGCGGUGAAAUGCUUAGAUAUCACGAAGAACUCCGAUUGCGAAGGCAGCCUGCUAAGCUGCAACUGACAUUGAGGCUCGAAAGUGUGGGUAUCAAACAGGAUUAGAUACCCUGGUAGUCCACACGGUAAACGAUGAAUACUCGCUGUUUGCGAUAUACAGCAAGCGGCCAAGCGAAAGCGUUAAGUAUUCCACCUGGGGAGUACGCCGGCAACGGUGAAACUCAAAGGAAUUGACGGGGGCCCGCACAAGCGGAGGAACAUGUGGUUUAAUUCGAUGAUACGCGAGGAACCUUACCCGGGCUUAAAUUGCAGAUGAAUUACGGUGAAAGCCGUAAGCCGCAAGGCAUCUGUGAAGGUGCUGCAUGGUUGUCGUCAGCUCGUGCCGUGAGGUGUCGGCUUAAGUGCCAUAACGAGCGCAACCCUUGUUGUCAGUUACUAACAGGUUCCGCUGAGGACUCUGACAAGACUGCCAUCGUAAGAUGUGAGGAAGGUGGGGAUGACGUCAAAUCAGCACGGCCCUUACGUCCGGGGCUACACACGUGUUACAAUGGGGGGUACAGAGGGCCGCUACCACGCGAGUGGAUGCCAAUCCCCAAAACCUCUCUCAGUUCGGACUGGAGUCUGCAACCCGACUCCACGAAGCUGGAUUCGCUAGUAGUCGCGCAUCAGCCACGGCGCGGUGAAUACGUUCCCGGGCCUUGUACACACCGCCCGUCAAGCCAUGGGAGCCGGGGGUACCUGAAGUGCGUAACCGCGAGGAGCGCCCUAGGGUAAAACUGGUGACUGGGGCU
rnacentral:rRNA from 1 species